AUUGAACGCUGGCGGCAGGCCUCACACAUGCAAGUCGAGCGGAGCGGCGGACGGGUGAGUAAUGCCUAGGAAUCUGCCUGGUAGUGGGGGAUAACGUCCGGAAACGGGCGCUAAUACCGCAUACUAUCAGAUGAGCCUAGGUCGGAUUAGCUAGGUGGUGGGGUAAAGGACUACCAAGGCGACGAUCCGUCACUGGUCUGAGAGGAUGAGCAGGCACACUGGAACGGAGACACGGCACAGACUCCUACGGGAGGCAGCAGUGGGGAAUAGUGGACAAUGGGGGAAAGCCUGAUCCAGCCAUGCCGCGUGUGUGAAGAAGGUCUUCGGAUUGUAAAGCACUUUAAGUUGGGAGGCGUUACCAACAGAAGAAGCAACGGCUAACUUCGGGCCAGCAGCCGCGGUAAUAC
rnacentral:rRNA from 1 species